rnacentral:rRNA from 1 species
GCAGGUAGGGAAUCUUCCACAAUGGACGAAAGUCUGAUGGAGCAACGCCGCGUGAGUGAAGAAGGGUUUCGGCUCGUAAAGCUCUGUUGGUAGUGAAGAAAGAUAGAGGUAGUAACUGGCCUUUAUUUGACGGUAAUUACUUAGAAAGUCACGGCUAACUACGUGCC